rnacentral:ncRNA from 1 species
CUCGCCGCCGGAGCCGGGUCGCGACGCGGAGGUCGCUCCGCUCGCUCCCGCCCGGGACGAGACGAAAUGUGGCCCUUCGGGCUGAAUCGCAAC